rnacentral:rRNA from 1 species
AGAGUUUGAUCAUGGCUCAGGAUGAACGCUAGCUACAGGCUUAACACAUGCAAGUCGAGGGGCAGCAUGUUGGUUGCUUGCAACCAACGAUGGCGACCGGCGCACGGGUGAGUAACGCGUAUCCAACCUACCCUUGUCCAUCGGAUAACCCGUCGAAAGGCGGCCUAACACGAUAUGCGGUUCACAGCAGGCAUCUAACGUGAACGAAAUGUAAAGGAGAAGGAUGGGGAUGCGUCUGAUUAGCUUGGUUGGCGGGGUAACGGCCACCAAGGCGACGAUCAGUAGGGGUUCUGAGAGGAAGGUCCCCCACGAUUGGAACUGAGACACGGUCCAAACUCCUACGGGAGCA